UACGUAGGGGGCUAGCGUUGUCCGGAUUCAUUGGGCGUAAAGCGCGUGUAGGCGGCCAGGUAGGUCCGCUGUGAAAGCUCGAGGCUCAACCUCGAGACGUCGGCGGAAACCACUUGGCUAGAGUCCGGAAGAGGAGAGUGGAAUUCCCGGUGUAGCGGUGAAAUGCGCAGAUAUCGGGAAGAACACCCGUGGCGAAGGCGGCUCUCUGGGACGGUACUGACGCUGAGACGCGAAAGCGUGGGGAGCGAACAGG
rnacentral:rRNA from 1 species